GACGAACGCUGGCGGCGCGCCUAACACAUGCAAGUCGAACGAGCGAGAGAGAGCUUGCUUUCUCGAGCGAGUGGCGAACGGGUGAGUAACGCGUGAGGAACCUGCCUCAAAGAGGGGGACAACAGUUGGAAACGACUGCUAAUACCGCAUAAGCCCACGACCCGGCAUCGGGUAGAGGGAAAAGGAGCAAUCCGCUUUGAGAUGGCCUCGCGUCCGAUUAGCUAGUUGGUGAGGUAACGGCCCACCAAGGCGACGAUCGGUAGCCGGACUGAGAGGUUGAACGGCACAUUGGGACUGAGACACGGCCCAGACUCCUACGGGAGGCAGCAGUGGGGAAUAUUGCACAAUGGGGGAAACCCUGAUGCAGCGACGCCGCGUGGAGGAAGAAGGUCUUCGGAUUGUAAACUCCUGUUGUUGAGGAAGAUAAUGACGGUACUCAACAAGGAAGUGACGGCUAACUACGUG
rnacentral:rRNA from 1 species